AGUGAACGCUGGCGGUAGGCCUAACACAUGCCAGUCGAACGGCAGCACAGUAAGAGCUUGCUCUUACGGGUGGCGAGUGGCGGACGGGUGAGGAAUACAUCGGAAUCUACUUUUUCGUGGGGGAUAACGUAGGGAAACUUACGCUAAUACCGCAUACGACCUACGGGUGAAAGCAGGGGAUCUUCGGACCUUGCGCGAUUGAAUGAGCCGAUGUCGGAUUAGCUAGUUGGCGGGGUAAAGGCCCACCAAGGCGACGAUCCGUAGCUGGUCUGAGAGGAUGAUCAGCCACACUGGAACUGAGACACGGUCCAGACACCUACGGGAGGCAGCAGUGGGGAAUAUUGGACAAUGGGCGCAAGCCUGAUCCAGCCAUACCGCGUGGGUGAAGAAGGCCUUCGGGUUGUAAAGCCCUUUUGUUGGGAAAGAAAAGCAGCAGGUUAAUACCCCGCUGUUCUGACGGUACCCAAAGAAUAAGCACCGGCUAACUUCGUG
rnacentral:rRNA from 1 species